AUGCUGCUCUGUCUGCAUGGGAGACCACGCCCAGUCAUCAGUAUUCCCCCUCUCAUCUCCUCCUUGUGCUGAGUGGUUUAGCUGGCGUCUCCAGAGAGAACCAGAGGCAGACGGUGGUGAUGAGUGUGCAGGCCUAACGGCUGGAUAUCCUGCCUGCUGCCCGUAAGGCCAGGUUGCACUAGGCUGUGGCAUGGAGACAAGCCCACACAACACAGUGUUUGUGUCUGUAUUUAGAUCCUUGUGGUUUAAUUCCCCUCAAAGUGACUGUUCUUUUACACAGAGAAUCAGGCUGAUUUCACUCUUUCUUCCUUCAUUGAUAGGUCUGACUGGGCUUUAGUAGCUAACAUCAGGCUAAUAAUCAGACAAGUUUUUAGCUUCAGAAGUGUGCCAGCUGUUAAGGUGGCAAAGGCUUGAGACGUAAUGGAAACACAAUACAUACACUACACCGUAACCCGAUACGCUGAAAAAAAGGAAGAAUGUGUAAUGACUCCUUGAGGUGAAGCACUGGUGAUGUGUUCACCACUUUAAUUCAGAUUACACCUGCAGAAGGUGCACACACACACACACACAUACACACACAGGAAUGGUAACACACUCAUAUAAAAAAGUUGCUGACAGCUGCAGUGGGGUUGCCAAAACAUACUGCUAUCUUGCAAAGCCAUUUCGCAAUGCUAGCUCCCUCUUCCUCUGCCGACCAUGUGUGCUGGGGUCAGGCUGUAGCUGCCAAGACUCUCUACAUCAGACAUACACAUUCCGUCUACUCCUUCCCAGUUUCCAUGUAGCUAGCUUCUUUCACUGCAAAUAGGACAGUAGACCAAUGGCCCACUGAUGAACUGAACCCUUCCUGCUCUUUCUGAUCCAAAGAGGAAAUUGCAAUGUUCCUCGUGGCUGGUUUAUACUUGAACAGCAUUUUGUCUGUGAAUGGUGGAAAGGGUUAAGUGAGCUAUAGAGUGAUGACACUUAGGCAGAGGAUUUGGUUAGUAACAUUUACACUAAGAUACAGGUCUAACUUUUUUCUGUCUCUUUUUCUCUCUAUACACACACACACACACACACACACACACACACACACACACACACACACACACACACACACACACACACACACACACACACACACACACACACACACACACACACACACACACACACACACACACACACACACACACACACACACACACACAGCAAGACAAUAGGAUUAAGUGGUUGGAGUACAUCUCAUUGUCUUGUUUAUUUUUCUAUCUUUGUGAAGGUGCAGCGGGUGUCAGUUUACUGAAGCUUUUUUUUCACUAUCCCACUGAGGUAAUUAUUUUUAAGUGCCUACAGGCUGUGGUGGAGGUUAGGGGUGAUCCAAAACAAAGCUGUUUAUAUUCCACAAAGCAGGUUCCUGAGUUACAGUAGUGGUACUGACAUAGUAGAUCCUUCAUUCCUACACACAAGUCAGAUUCUUUGGGAUUCCAAAAAGUAGUGCCAAUGAUAUAUUGGGAAAUACAAGUGAAAGUUUUCCACAUGCAAGUGAACACUUGGCAAUAAAGUGCUGCUAUAUUGAAUUAGAUAUAAGCUCAGUAUAAAGUAGAGCAUGGUGCAGUAGCUGAUUACCCCAUGUAUCAAGUAGCCAUAACAAAACGAUAAAGCUAUGGAGUGGAGCUGCCAAGGCUUAGAUAAGUCCGAUUUCUUCUCAAGAUGGAGGGUGUCGGAUUGCAAAAUAACUGCCUCUUUUUCUGAUUUGAAAAGAAUGUAGCUUAUGGCUUCUUUACAGGACUGUAUAUACACUACUCCUACCAUCCUGUAUAAGAACAUGUGCUGUCCUGUACUGACUGAGUCCUCCCUACAUGGUCUAAGAUCCCGCUCUCUCUGUUCGUCAGGUCUGCAGGUCAGGGUUAAUUGACUGAGAGGAAUGUGUGAGGCAGGCAGGACUGCUCGGUCGCAGUCUCCCUUUUAUCUGAUUAAGGCACUGCUUGUCUUAACUGGCACGCUGCACUACCGGGCCGGGCGGCUGCACUCAGAACCCCUUAUGCCACCACACACCCUAGCCACACACAGCCAGCCAGGGCCCUCAGUGGGCCAGGAGCCAGAGGCGCGACCCAUCUCUCCCCGGGUGGGUGCCUGUUGGCAUGGUGAGGUGUGUUUUCCUCCUGGGCAUGGUGGCUUGAAUAAGCGUGUGUCGGCUGAAGGCUGGUUUGACGGUGUCAGCGCUCCUUCAGUAGUGGGGUAUAAAAUGCUAAAUGUGCCCGUGUUUGAUCCCGCCUGGCCACUUGGCAGCUGUGCAAACAGCGGUGGGGCGAUUCAGCCUCCUCUGAUGUGGGCUGCUGCUUCUGGACCCAACAGAACAAACACAUUUGCUCAGGUCCAUUUCACUUUGCUGAGUCAAAUAAUGGCCAACCAGGAUGUUAGAUCAAGAGCACUUUUCGGUGCCUGGUAUUUGGUGCUGUGCCCAUAGUAUUUAGACAGUGUUUACCUAAACAAUGUCUCCAUGAUGCCAGGCUGCCAUUGUGCCCAGUGCGCAUUGGAUGCCCAGUCUCCUGAAUGGGCCACAGUCUAAUUUUAUGCAGAGCAGACGUUGGUAGAAUAGUUGUCUAUGAGGAGAAGUACUUUACUACUGGCCACAAUGACCCAGUGUCUCUGCUGUGAAUGGGCUGUGAUGUCACCCUAUAAUAUCAUUAAAUGGGUAUCUCCUCCUCCCUCCUCAUCCUUCGUUCAUUCAUCUCUUUGACCGUGGUCUUCCCCUGUUAAUCUGUGAAAUGUUAUCAUGAAUGGACAAUAUCGGGAUGACUGCACGUAUUCAUUUACCCUUUUAGAGUUUAGUCAUAUACAAUAGGUGUGCUACCUUGUGGAUACAUCAGUGUACUAAAUAGUAAGCAUAUGUGUAGAGAGAGGGAGCAAGAAAGGCAUUUGAAGGUGUGACAUACUGUAAGAUGUGCUGAAGCAUAGGUAUGUGUGGAAUCAAGUUGAAAAAUGUAAUUUGGUUGUAUAACGGUAUGUGAACUUGAAAGAUAGUUUCUUUUGACCGUGUCAGAAACAUCAGAAACAACAUUCCCCAAUAAGCCUUCUCAAGACUGCAACCAAAACAAAGAAAUGGCACGUCCCUGAGUUUUACAUCCUCCCUCCUCUAAUCCCUCCUCUAAUCCCUCCUCUCAUCCCUCCUCUCAUCCCUCCUCUCAUUCCUCCUCUCAUUCCUCCUCUCAUUCCUCCUCUCCCCUUCUCCCUCCUCUCAUUCCUCCUCUCAUUCCUCCUCUCCCCCUCUCCCUCCUCUCAUCCCUCCUCUCAUUCCCCCUCUCCCUCCUCUAAUCCCUCCUCUAAUCCCUCCUCUCAUCCCUCCUCUCAUCCCUCCUCUCAUCCCUCCUCUCAUCCCUCCUCUCAUUCCUCCUCUCAUUCCUCCUCUCCCCCUCUCCCUCCUCUCAUUCCUCCUCUCAUUCCUCCUCUCCCCCUCUCCCUCCUCUCAUUUCUCCUCUCAUUUCUCCUCUCAUUCCUCCUCUCAUUCCUCCUCUCCCUCCUCUCAUUCCUCCUCUCCCCCUCUCCCUCCUCUCAUCCCUCCUCUCAUCCCUCCUCUCAUCCCUCCUCUCAUUCCUCCUCUCAUUCCUCCUCUCCCCCUCUCCCUCCUCUCAUUCCUCCUCUCAUUCCUCCUCUCCCCCUCUCCCUCCUCUCAUUCCUCCUUUCAUUCCUCCUCUCCCCCUCUCCCUCCUCUCAUUCCUCCUCUCAUUCCUCCUCUCCCCCUCUCCCUCCUCUCAUUCCUCCUUUCAUUCCUCCUCUCCCCCUCUCCCUCCUCUCAUUCCUCCUCUCAUCCCUCCUCUCAUUCCUCCUCUCAUCCCUCCUCUCAUUCCUCCUCUCAUUCCUCCUCUCAUUCCUCCUCUCAUUCCUCCUCUCCCCCUCUCCCUCCUCUCAUUCCUCCUUUCAUUCCCCCUCUCCCUCCUCUCAUUCCUCCUCUCAUUCCUCCUCUCAUUCCUCCUCUCCCUCCUCUUUUCCAGCCUCUCUGUGGGCCACAUGAGCAUCUCUCAGUCUAACGUCACCUCAGGCCUUGAUGUGGCGUCGGCUUCUCUCAUCCUAGCUGUCUGUCAGUCUCUGCUAAUCACUGAGUCACAGCACCAGCCACACCACUGCAUGCCACUGGCUGCCUCCUGCCGCCACAGGCCCUUCCUUUCCCCAUUACUCCACAUUACUGGACUGACUGGGAGAGCUGACUGGGAACUGACUAGUGGUGGUCCACGCUGCCUCACCAAACCAUGGCCAACCACCUCCCACGCAUCCCACCAUUCCCUGUGCGUGGCACUACAUGUAUUUCUGUCCCCAUAUUGCUGUUUUACAGUUCCUCAUCAGGAGGUUGUUUGCCCAGAGUAAGAAUACUUUGCCUGGUAUACACAUCAAUCUGGUGUCCUCCGAGGAGCCCGGUCUUUUGUUUACGGCCAGCGGCCCAGAUUUUCCUCUUUCCUUUUUGUAUGCAUUUUCUGUUUUCUGCAGACCACCUGUUUUUGGAGUCAGCAUGAGUGCUGCUUUUGUAAUCAUGCUAGUAGUGAAUGUCCCAUGAGCCACAGCUUGCACUUUAAUGUAUGUCAACCCUACUAUAUCAGAGGGGUAUUGACAAGCAGGUCUGCUCUACUUAGCAGGGAACAAUAAGUAAAGCUGUGGCGGGGGAGGAGAGUUCUAUGAUGUAGGUGAGGCUCUGUGGCACUCAUGUCGAGUCGGGCCUCAGUGACACAGGCACAGUCAAAUCGGAGGCGCAUGUGCCCUUACCUUGCUCUGCUCUGGACCCCAAGGAGGGGAGGUUGGGGCCAGGACUGUGGUUGGUUGAGAGUUGGGUGUUUGGAACAGCUGGAUGCCUUAGCUUGGCCUGGCUCCUUCUCUCUCUUUCUUCAUAUCUGCAUAUUUGGGAUGGAGUGAGUGGCCUGGCCUGGCAAUCUCCAGACUGAGUGUUGCUAACGACAAUUAAUGUGGGCGUCUGGAGGAGGCCCAAGGGUCUGUCCUAAUGAGAAGUUGACAGCGUUCACUUCCAUCACUACAGAGCUGCUGGGACACAGUCCACUGGCAGUUUCUCAUAAAACCACAUGAAGAGGUCUCUCAACGUGCUCCUAUCCUCAGCCCUCAGAGCUCAGACUCCAGUAUGUUUUUUUGGGGAACUUCUUUGGAAGAAAUGACAAAUAAUGAGUAAAUGAUGAUAUUUAUUUAGAUAGACUGAUUGCUUGCAUUAUGUUUACUCACGUCAAGAGGAAGACAAUGUUCAGUCAUUCUCUGACGGUGUGAGUCACAUCUACUCAAUGUUUUGGAUGAGUCUGUGUGUGUGAGUGUUUGCACGCUCGUGUGCAUGUGUCCCAUGAGUUGCUGUUGUCCAUCUGUUACACAUAAUUUGAUCAGCACACACACAGCUAUUUCAUUUUGUCUGAAGUGUUGCAUUGCGUCAAAAAACACCUACGUUGAGAUAGAGGUGAAAAGUAAGUAGAUGUUUGAUAUGUUUUACAAAUAUAUGAUUGUUUGCCUCUCACUCAAACAUCAAUUUCAACUCUAAAACAUCACUGUUCCAUCGAAAAUAGAGAUGAAUUAAUGUAUUUGAACUCCAACCGUUUUCUAAGGGGCCACAGUCAUUCUCUGACUCAUUAGAGGCACACAAGAAAGCUGUGGGAAGCACAUUAGUGAUUGUUAAACACCAGAGGAAUGUAUGGCACGCAACAUGAAAACAAUGUGGUCUGGAGGGAAUUUAUUUAUCCACUGUCCAUCUGUCGCCCAUGCCCUAGAAUGAGCAGAGCACAUUGAGCUCUAUGAUGUAGAACUGUAUCCAUAUAGUGUUUGUGUGCGUAGAGUGUCACAAACAGAACUAUGGAAUGAAUGAAUAUUCUGUUAAUAUGAUGGCUUCCCUCUACUUUCAGGCGGUAACGCUUCCCGCCACAUUUCAGAACAGUGUCAGGAAACUGUUGCAGUUUGGGCUGAAAACAGGACAGGCAUGGUGGGUUUGUUAGAAGAAUGCAAGCGAGCAAGUAAACUGUUUGUCAGAUAUGUCGUGUGUUUGAUUUAAUGCCUAAACAGUUCCCUCAGAGCAUCCCCUGUGUGUUUACAACUGGGCUGGGGCCAGGGAAAGCUGCUACAUGCCGCUAAGCUCACACCACCUGCUCUGCUCUCUGGCAUGGUAGUCUAACAGCUAGCCAGAGACCUGCUAACUCACAAAGAACACGGAGCGGCCUUUUCCUGCUUUUUCCCCAUGUUUUUGGUCUUUGGUAGAUUGAAGUGUUCUGAAAUUUGCUGUAGGCGUUUUUCAUAGAGAGCUGGGGCAUUGCAAAAUGUGUAUGUAUUUUUGCAGAGUGAGACAUUUUGCAACACAGUCGUCAUUUCUACUUUGAAGACGUAUAAAAACAUCUGCUCUGUCUCUAUGAUUGAAGUGUUGAGUGUAUGAUCGUGAGUAGCAAGACAUGUAGGCGGCUGGCAUGGAUGGUGAGCAUGAGCCAUCAGUAAGAGCUUUGUCUCUGUUUUCCCCCCUCUGCAGUAAGCAGGGAAUUUCCACCAGCUUUCAAGAGAAACUCAGCAUCCACCAGGCAUAGCCUUGGAUCAAUUGAAAAAGGCAGCUAAUAUCAUCACACAUGAACUGAGACUGGUAAACAAUAUGGACGAGUUAAUGUACUUACCACACAUCAGAAGCUAGAAUUUCAAACAUAGAGAAAUAGAGAAGAGAAGCUGUGGGGGCAUUCGUCUCUGUUAGCCUCAGACCCUGGAGAGCUGUGUGUUUUGUAUUGUAAAGCGAGUGAGGCAUACUGUAGUUAUAGUUCUGGUCAACAGUAGUAGUUACAGUUCUGGUCAACAGUAGUAGUUACAGUUCUGGUCAACAGUAGUAGUUACAGUUCUGGUCAACAGUAGUAGUUACAGUUCUGGUCAACAGUAGUAGUUACAGUUCUGGUCAACAGUAGUAGUUACAGUUCUGGUCAACAGUAGUAGUUACAGUUCUGGUCAACAGUAGUAGUUACAGUUCUGGUCAACAGUAGUAGUUACAGUUCUGGUCAACAGUAGUAGUUACAGUUCUGGUCAACAGUAGUAGUUACAGUUCUGGUCAACAGUAGUAGUUACAGUUCUGGUCAACAGUAGUAGUUACAGUUCUGGUCAACAGUAGUAGUAGUAGUUACAGGUCUGGUCAACAGUAGUAGUAGUAGUUACAGGUCUGGUCAACAGUAGUAGUUACAGGUCUGGUCAACAGUAGUAGUUACAGGUCUGGUCAACAGUAGUAGUUACAGUUCUGGUCAACAGUAGUAGUUACAGUUCUGGUCAACAGUAGUAGUUACAGUUCUGGUCAACAGUAGUAGUUACAGUUCUGGUCAACAGUAGUAGUUACAGUUCUGGUCAACAGUAGUAGUUACAGUUCUGGUCAACAGUAGUAGUUACAGUUCUGGUCAACAGUAGUAGUUACAGUUCUGGUCAACAGUAGUAGUUACAGUUCUGGUCAACAGUAGUAGUUACAGUUCUGGUCAACAGUAGUAGUUACAGUUCUGGUCAACAGUAGUAGUAGUAGUUACAGGUCUGGUCAACAGUAGUAGUAGUAGUAGUUACAGGUCUGGUCAACAGUAGUAGUUACAGUUCUGGUCAACAGUAGUAGUUACAGGUCUGGUCAACAGUAGUAGUUACAGGUCUGGUCAACAGUAGUAGUUACAGGUCUGGUCAACAGUAGUAGUUACAGGUCUGGUCAACAGUAGUAGUUACAGGUCUGGUCAACAGUAGUAGUAGUAGUUACAGGUCUGGUCAACAGUAGUAGUAGUAGUUACAGGUCUGGUCAACAGUAGUAGUAGUAGUUACAGGUCUGGUCAACAGUAGUAGUAGUAGUUACAGGUCUGGUCAACAGUAGUAGUAGUAGUUACAGGUCUGGUCAACAGUAGUAGUAGUAGUUACAGGUCUGGUCAACAGUAGUAGUAGUAGUUACAGGUCUGGUCAACAGUAGUAGUAGUAGUUACAGGUCUGGUCAACAGUAGUAGUAGUAGUUACAGGUCUGGUCAACAGUAGUAGUAGUAGUUACAGGUCUGGUCAACAGUAGUAGUAGUAGUUACAGGUCUGGUCAACAGUAGUAGUAGUAGUUACAGGUCUGGUCAACAGUAGUAGUAGUAGUUACAGGUCUGGUCAACAGUAGUAGUAGUAGUUACAGGUCUGGUCAACAGUAGUAGUAGUAGUUACAGGUCUGGUCAACAGUAGUAGUAGUAGUUACAGGUCUGGUCAACAGUAGUAGUAGUAGUUACAGGUCUGGUCAACAGUAGUAGUAGUAGUUACAGGUCUGGUCAACAGUAGUAGUAGUAGUUACAGGUCUGGUCAACAGUAGUAGUAGUAGUUACAGGUCUGGUCAACAGUAGUAGUUACAGGUCUGGUCAACAGUAGUAGUUACAGGUCUGGUCAACAGUAGUAGUUACAGGUCUGGUCAACAGUAGUAGUAGUAGUUACAGGUCUGGUCAACAGUAGUAGUUACAGGUCUGGUCAACAGUAGUAGUAGUAGUUACAGGUCUGGUCAACAGUAGUAGUAGUUACAGGUCUGGUCAACAGUAGUAGUAGUAGUUGCAGGUCUGGUCAACAGUAGUAGUAGUUACAGGCCUGGAGGCUGAGCACCACAGGCUUGUGAAGGGAGUGGGCAGACAGCGGUGGAGCCCUAAGAAUAGCUGCAGUGUUCCAACAGGGAGGGAUGGAUGGAUGGUGAGAUAGCCCCAGCCUGUGACCUCAGAGCAGCGCCUGGGCUGGCCCUCAUCUGGCCCUGGCUCAUGGUCGGUCCUGCUGUAACGCAACUACUCUGCCUGCCCGGCAGCUUCCUCUAGCGAGUGCCGAGUGGCCUCUUCUAUUACUGUCUCUGGCCUUUACAUGGGAAUCCAAAUAGCGGUAGAACAAGCGGUCCUCUCAGGACAUAGACUGCCCUCUGAACCCCCACCCCCCCAACUUCAUUCCCCUGCUGAAUGGUCUCUCUUUAUGUCAGCAGGGUUUAUAACCCUUCAAUCCCAGACUGGGACUGAUAGGAAUCCCCAUCAAAGCUCUCUCAGAUAGUGGUGUCACCUCUGGACAUGGGGUCCCUGAGUGAGUAGGACCCCCUGGUGGUACCCACCACGCUGCCUAAUAACCUAUAUUAGCCGUGGAGGGAUAUUUUCCAUAAAGGGGUUAACCGGGGUUGGCCCUGAAAUGACCGACCCGCUCAACCCACAACUAACCUCUCUCUUUCUUUCUGGGAAGUGACACCUUAGCCUCAGGAAGUGGACCCUCUCGCAUACUUAAAUACAGCCUUGCAGUGCUGCAGAGAGAGAGAAAGAGAGGUGUAUUGUCAGCCACUGAUGUUAAUCUCACAACGGACUGAAAUAAAUCAGCCCUUUAUGGCUUUAAAAGCAUUUCACUGCUGAAAUAUUUGACAGUCCACUGAAUAGCCCCAUAGACAUUCUACCCACUUUGAUCGCACACCCACUGUCUUUCUCACACACACACACACACACACACACACACACACACACACACACACACACACACACACACACACACACACACACACACACACACACACACACACACACACACACACACACACACACACACACACACACACACACACACACACACACACACACACACACACACACACAGUGACAGACCUAAAUCGACACGCACACAUUCAUACACACUCAGUCUAGGUCUAUUUAUAGCCACAUGAUAGCACAGUGUCUCUUUCUCCCAUUGUGUGAGUGGAAGUUGCCUGCUCCAUGCAUAUCGAGGCAGCGUCGUAGCAGGGGGUUUAUGAAUGAACACAGCAGUCUCAGCCAGAGACAGCAUCAUAGCAGCGGGUUUAUGAAUGAACACAGCAGUCUCAGCCAGAAACAGCGUCAUAGCAGCGGGUUUAUGAAUGAACACAGCAGUCUCAGCCAGAGACAGCAUCAUAGCAGGGGAUUUAUGAAUGAACACAGCAGUCUCAGCCAGAGACAGCGUCAUAGCAGGGGGUUUAUGAAUGAACACAGCAGUCUCAGCCAGAGACAGCAUCAUAG